rnacentral:rRNA from 1 species
AUUGAACGCUGGCGGCAUGCUUUACACAUGCAAGUCGAACGGCAGCACGGGUGCUUGCACCUGGUGGCGAGUGGCGAACGGGUGAGUAAUGCAUCGGAACGUGCCCAUGAGUGGGGGAUAGCCCGGCGAAAGCCGGAUUAAUACCGCAUACGCCCUUAGGGGGAAAGCGGGGGAUCUUCGGACCUCGCGCUAUUGGAGCGGCCGAUGUCGGAUUAGCUAGUAGGUGAGGUAAAGGCUCACCUAGGCGACGAUCUGUAGCUGGUCUGAGAGGAUGAUCAGCCACACUGGGACUGAGACACGGCCCAGACUCCUACGGGAGGCAGCAGUGGGGAAUUUUGGACAAUGGGCGCAAGCCUGAUCCAGCCAUGCCGCGUGAGUGAAGAAGGCCUC